UACGGCCAUAUCACGUUGAAACAAUGAUACCUGUACGAUCCCAGAAGUUAAGCAACGUCGAGCCUGGUCAGUACCUAGAUGGGCGACCGCAGUGGAAUAUCAGGUGC